GAGAAGGAAGAGGAGAGAAGGAAUAAAGAAGAGGAGAGAAGGAAGAGGAGAGAAGGAAGAGGAGAUAAGGAAUAAAGGAGAGGAGAGAAGGAAGAGGGGAGAAGGAAUAAAGAAGAGGAGAGAAGGAAGAGGAGAGAAGGAAUAAAGAAGAGGAGAGAAGGAAUAAAGAAGAGGAGAGAAGGAAGAGGAGAGAAGGAAUAAAGAAGAGGAGAGAAGGAAUAAAGAAGAGGAGAGAAGGAAGAGGAGAGAAGGAAGAGGAGAGAAGGAAUAAAGAAGAGGAGAGAAGGAAGAGGAGAGAAGGAAGAGGAGAGAAGGAAUAAAGGAAGAGGAGAGAAGGAAGAGGAGAGAAGGAAUAAAGAAGAGGAGAGAAGGAAGAGGAGAGAAGGAAUAAAGAAGAGGAGAGAAGGAAGAGGAGAGAAGGAAUAAAGAAGAGGAGAGAAGGAAUAAAGAAGAGGAGAGAAGGAAUAAAGAAAAGGAGAGAAGGAAGAGGAGAGAAGGAAUAAAGGAAGAGGAGAUAAGGAAGAGGAGAGAAGGAAUAAAGAAGAGGAGAGAAGGAAGAGGAGAGAAGGAAUAAAGAAGAGAAGGAAGAGGAGAAUCUGAUUCUGUUUCAGUGUUGGUAUGAUCAGGUUGAUUUAUGAUUGAUCAGGUUGAUUUGUGAUUGAUCAGGCUGAUUUGUGAUUGGUUGAUUUGGUAAUUGUCCUGAUAUUUGAAACUAACAUUUUAUUCGUACAAAGUUUGAUUUCACGUUCUUGUACCGCAGCUGACCGUAUGUACUCAGGUUUGCUCAGACGACGCCAGUAUCAAGUUCAACAGGACAAUGUUUCCCAGAAUUCAGUGGGGCUAACAAGAAUCCCUGGGUUAUACUAACAGGCUAAUAAAAACCUGUUGUCCUCCUGCUGUCUGUGUCCUAUUGUGGUUUCUGGUCUAAUUUCUGUUUUCGGUCUCUGUUGUUGUCUCUAUUGUCAUGUCCUCGUUUUGUCCUGAUUGUCCCUGUGGACCGCGGGGGAACAGAAGACUUCCUGGGUGAACAGAGGUGGGUGUUCAGGGUUGGAAGGUUCAACGUAGUUCAAAAUAGGUUGAUUAAUUAUAGCCGUCGCAGCUGAGAAUGGGCCAUAAUGAAGAGGACAAGAGGGAGGAGCAGGGGAGGAGAAGAGGAGGAGAAGAGGAGGAGAAGAGGAGGGAAAGGCGGGGGUGUGAUUAUAAGUUAGCGCAGUAAACAGUGAGAUGGAAGUACAAUGGGUUUAAGUCUUUAGUCAGGACAGAGAGAUAAUUAGAGCUGAACAGAGGAGUGUGAAUGAGAGGAGGAGACAGACACACGUUCACAGACAAAGACAGAGCUGAGGACGGGACGCUGCUCAGAGGACUUCAACAUCUGUUACUCUGUGGGAUCAGCAGACAGCUCUCCAGGGUCAGGCUCCCAAAAUACUCAUGAUCCAAACAUGCUGCUCCUCUAACAUGGUCUACAGGAGAGAGGGACAUGAGUUUAACUCUUCUCAAACAGCUGACCUUCAGUUUGGUGGAUAUCGUUGUCUUCGGAGGGUCAGCUUCAGUGGAUUUUAUUUCACAGAGAAAACUGAACAGUGGAUAAACUACAUCUUCAGCAGAUACUGAAGCUGAUCAAACAUUCAUCCAACGACUGGAGGGUUGGCGGUUCGAUUCCCCCUCCAUCCUUAGUCUGUCUGUCUGUUGUGUCCUUGGGCAGGACACUUGACCGUCCUUCCUCCCAGUGUGUGUCCUCCACUGGUGUGUGACUAUCAUAAAUGUCACACUGUAAUCUGUCUGUAACUGUAAUCAAAGUUGUCUCCAUCAACCAGACAGUUCAGUCUUCAGUCCUCAAAUAUAAACUCAUGUUUCAGUUUCAGCCUUUUGGUAUUUUGUGCGUUAAAAAAAAAACAUGUUUGUCUGUUUUUUUGUUUAAAGAAUCAAAGUUUUUUCUCUCCACACAUGAAGAAAUGAUAAAGUAACACCAAAGUUUUACUGCUAACCACCAUCAUCAUCAUCAUCAUCAUCAUCAUCAUCAUCAUCAUCAUCAUCAUCAUCAUCAACCAUCUGCUGUGAAAGAAAGACGGAUGUGCAAAUGAACUUAUUAUAAUCCACCUAUCAUUCUAUAAAUACUUGAUUCUGAUUGGUCAGUACCUGAAGCAGCGGUGUUUCUUCAUCUCAGCUGAAUGUCGGGAGAGACGCGUCAAUCAUCAACUUUGAGGAUCUUCAGGAAAGUGUCUGUCGUACCUGAGCUCUGCCUGCUGACCUGUUUGGAGAACAGAGACGGUGACCACAUGACAGGAACCAUGACAGGAACCAUGACACCCGAACAUGAACGAGCCGAACACCAGUGGAAGUAUUAGUUUGUUAAUGAGACCCAUUUAAUAUGAAAAUACAGUUGUAAAUGUUUUUUUAACUGCAUACAUGAAUGAGUGUUGUCUCUGUUCUGACUGUAUCGUGAGUGGGUGGUUGUGGCGGACUGGUACCCCCUUCAGGGUCAGACUGGUACCUCCUUCAGGGUCAGACUGGUACCCCCUUCAGGCAGAUUGGUACCCCCUUCAGGGUCAGACUGGUACCUCCUUCAGGGUCAGACUGGUACCCCCUUCAGGGUCAGACUGGUACCCCCUUCAGGGUGAGACAGAACCGGGACUUCAGCCAGCUCCCAGCACCUGCUCUCACUGUUAUCCUUCUCUCUACAACGUUGUUCGGUUCAAAGUAAAGAGUUUAUUUGGGGUCUUAAUUACCGUUUUCAUGAUCACUGAUCCUUCAGUUACUGAGAUAUUUGAGUUAAACAGCCUGAAUCCUCGGUGAUCUGUAAAAACAUGCAGGAAAGGUUAAAAAUGGAGACAGGAGACAUUGUCAUCAGUGUUUUCAUUCAUUACUGACUCCUGCCUGGAGGUCCUCCUCAUCCUGUCAGAGAUGGAGACGGUUCAAUUAGCCUUGUGGUCAAAGGACACGCCCACAAAUCCAUGGUUGUGGGUUUAAUCAGUGUGUGUGUGUGUGUGUGUGUGUGUGUGUGCGUCAGAGAGGUUGGUGUUCGGUGAUGAAAGGAGCACAUAACUCUUCAUCACCUCUGUUCUUUCUUAAAUCUCUUAUCCUUCCUUUAAAAUCAGCGGCUAAAACAUCGACAGCGCUGUUACGAUAAGAAACUCCAAAAACCCAGAAGUCUCUAAAAUAAACACGUCUACUGUUCCUUUAUAAGAUAAACAACAAACUGAAAUGACCUCUUUAGUGAUUUAUUGUCUCAGAGCAAUUUGGAUAAAAGAGGCGCUGAGCCCCGUGGAUGACAUGUGUCCUUUACAAAGACGCUGCGUCCUGGAGUUUAUGUUAAAGGUUCAUCAGCUGGAUUAUUUCUCUUUUGUCUUUCAGCUGAAAUUUGUCUGUGCUGCUUAUUUUCAGUGUAAACGGACAAACAACAGCGUGUUGGUCUGUAAAAUCAUUCAAUAAUAAAUGUUCAGUGUUGUUCAGGAGCUGAAACUGAGACCUUUGAGCCUCAUCAUGGGUUUGACCUUUGACCUUUAAAGUUCCUGAAGUUAAAGAAGAAGUUUUUGGGAUGUCUUUACCUUUAGUGACAGUUUAGGAGGAGCAGGAAGUGUGAGGAGGAGAGGGAGUACGAGGAGUCAGAUCUCUGUGUGAGUGUUUAACCACGGAGCUAAAUCAGCAUCCUUCUUUGUGAAGAGCAGAUGAUUGAUCAGUGUUAAUGAUUGAUCAGUGUUAAUGAUUGAUCAGUGUGAAUCUUCUGGGAUCUGAAGUGAAAUAUGUUUUUGAAGAAGAGAAAUGACCUCAGAUCUGCUCCUCUGCAGUCUGCAGACUGUCCUUCAGACAGAGGUGGACGGACAGGUUCAGAGAGGGGUCUGCUGUCACUUCAUCCAUCUCACACUGAAGAGCAGAUUUCAUUUCCCUAAUUGACCCCUCCUCCCAUCACACCUUCUCUGGUGGUUUCUUCACUCGACCUUCUUCUGGGGUCUUUCCCGACCUUCCUCUGCUUCCACCUCAGGUCCCAGCCCAGAUGUUUCUCAUGUAACUGCAGCUGGAACAAUUAUAUUUGCUAAAUCAUUUGCAAUAAAAAAAACAGAUGUUAAGCUAAUUAGCAUUAGCAGAGCUUAGUGGAACCCCUUGAUGGAGAAAGAUUAUCCGCACUGAUACCUCUGGACCAUUCUUGGCUUUAGCUGAAGACAAGUUAGUUCCUGGAGUCAACAGGCAACACCUCGACUUUUCUACUGGAGCUGCUCGAUUUGCCUCAUAUCCUGGUUUUGUUUUCUUCCUCUUCAUCCUGGUCCGGGUCGUGGGGCAGCAGCUUCAGGAGGGAAGCCCAGACGGCUUCUCCUCUGAGCUCCUUACCCUAUCUCUAAGGCUGAGCCCGGACACCCUGAGGAGGAAACCCAUUUCAGCCGCUUGUAUCUGCGAUCUUGUUCUUUCGGUCAUUACCCAAAGUUCAUGACCAUAGGUGAGGAUCGGCACGUAGAUCGACCGGUAAAUCGAGAGUCUCUCCUUACGGCUCAGCUCUUUCUUCACCACCACUGAUCAGUUAGGCAGGACCUCCCCUCCGACCUGGAAGUUUAUCUACCUUUCUCCGACUGAGGACCAUGGCCUCAGACUUGGAGGUUCUGAUUCAGAUCAGGGUGUCAAACUCGGCCAUGAACCACCCCAGCAAGACCUGAAGGUCACUGCUCGACGAAACUAGAAGAACCACAUCAUCCACAAAAAGCAGCGCUGUGAUCCUCUACCUGCAGAACUGGACCUCCUCCACCCUCGACUGCACCUAGAAGUUCAGUCCAUAAAGGUUCUGAACAGAACCGGAGACACAGUGAGAUCUGGACUCCAGCAGAGCUGAAGAAUGGAGACGGACCUGAGGGGACUGUUGUCGACAAUAUUGUUCUGGAUGAAUGAAUGAAUUUGUAGAUCAAUAAAAGGCCUGAUCAGGUCCAGAAUAUGAUCAAUGAACUCGACACUGUUUCCCUAUAAAUGUUUUUUUUUAUGCAGACUGUCACAGACCGAUGAAAGUAUCUGGACAACAUGUUUAUCUGUAAGAACAGAUAUCUGCUCAGGAGCGGAGGACUCCUGUGAAGAGAGAAACUCUCAUAAAUCCUAAAAUGACGGUUCUGAACUCUGGAGUCGGGGGCAGAAAUAUAAACUCAGACACGCCGUCUUUGUUGCCUGAGCUCCUGCUUAAUGUCUGUAAAUGAGCAGCUAACGAUGUGUUCAGAUAUUUGCUCCUCCAUAUCAGCUCCACAGCUGCCUCUGUUCACACAGACUGACCCCCUCCUCAGACAAACACCUGAUCAUGUUGUUGACCGAACUCUGAGAUAGAGAGGAUUAAACUCUGUGAUGUGUCCUGCUGCAGGACAAAAACUCACGUUUACCCAACUGUUGGCUCUGUUUUAAAACGUGGACACCUGUCUGUCACGUCUUCUCCUGUGUUCAUCCUCUCACGUCUCGUUUGACUCCUCAGUUUUCCACAGAUGGUGCAGCAGAAGCCCGUCUCCCUCCCCAGUCCUCACCCCACCUCC
rnacentral:lncRNA from 1 species